UACAGAGGGGGCAAGGCGUUAUUCGGAAUUAUUGGGCGUAAAAGGGCGCGUAGGCGGCCAUUCAAGUGACGGGGUGAAAGCCCUCGGCUUAACCGAGGAACUGCCUGUCAGACUGGAUGGCUUGAGACCGGGAGAGGUGAGUGGAAUUCCCAGUGUAGCGGUGAAAUGCGUAGAUAUUGGGAGGAACACCAGUGGCGAAGGCGGCUCACUGGACCGGAACUGACGCUGAGGCGCGAAAGCGUGGGGAGCAAACAGG
rnacentral:rRNA from 1 species